UACAGAGGGGGCAAGCGUUAUUCGGAAUUAUUGGGCGUAAAGGGCGCGUAGGCGGCCGUGCAAGUGGAAGGUGAAAUCCCUCGGCUCAACCGAGGAACUGCCUUUCAAACUGCAUGGCUUGAGUCCGGGAGAGGUGAGUGGAAUUCCCAGUGUAGCGGUGAAAUGCGUAGAUAUUGGGAGGAACACCUGCGGCGAAGGCGGGUUGCUGGGCUGAUACUGACGCUGAGGCGCGAAAGCUAGGGAGCGAACGGG
rnacentral:rRNA from 1 species